rnacentral:rRNA from 1 species
UAAAAUUUUGGUCAAGUUAUUAAGGGCAUACGGCGAAUGCCUUGGCAUUAGGAGGCGAUGAAGGACGUGGAUAGCUGCGAUAAGCCCCGGGGAGCUGCACUCAAGUGUUGAGCCGGGGAUUUCCGAAUGGGGAAACCCGUUACUGGUCAAGCGGUAACAUCUGUCUUUGACAGAGGCGAACGGAGGGAACUGAACCAUCUAAGUACCUCCAGGAAAAGAGAACAACCGUUAUUUCCUAAGUAGUGGCGAGCGAACGGGAAAGAGCCUAAACCGUGCUAUAUGUUAAAAUCCAUAUAUGUUGUAUAGCCGGGGUUGUGGGGGAUAUGUGUGAGUAUAGUAUGGUAUACUCGAGGAGUUAUAAAUCUAUUAUUUAGUAGAAUAUCUUACUGGAAAGGGUAGCCAAAGAGGGUGAUAGCCCCGUAAACGAAAAGUAAUAGACUUCUUAGUAUAUUUUCCCAAGUACUGCGGAGCACGUGAAACUCUGUAGGAAUCUGCCGGGACCACCCGGUAAGGCUAAAUACUACCUAAUGACCGAUAGUGCACGAGUACCGUGAGGGAAAGGUGAAAAGCACCGGGAGACCGGAGUAAAAAGAACCUGAAACCGUAUGCCUACAAGCUGUGGGAGGAAUGUUGUGAUUUCUACGGAUUUUACAACGGACUAACUGCAUGCCUUUUGCAUAAUGAGCCGGCGAGUUACUCGUACGUUGCAAGGUUAAAUACUUACGGUAUGGAGCCGAAGCGAAAGCAAGUCUGAAUAGGGCGUCUAGUAGCGUGCGGUAGACCCGAAACCGAGUGAUCUAGCCAUGGCCAGGAUGAAAUGUCGGUAAAACGGCAUGGAGGUCCGAACCAGAGGAUGUUGAAAAAUCCGUGGAUGAGCUGUGGCUAGGGGUGAAAGGCCAAUCAAACUCGGAGAUAGCUGGUUCUCCCCGAAAUAUCUUUAGGGAUAGCCUCACAUAUAAGAGUAAUGGCGGUAGAGCACUGAAUGGGCUAGGGGUCCUACCAGGCUACCAAACCCAAACAAACUCCGAAUUCCAUUACUUGUUGUGUGGGAGUCAGGCUAAGUGGGAUAAGCUUCUUAGCCGAGAGGGAAACAACCCUGACCGACAGCUAAGGUCCCAAAAUAUAGACUAAGUGAUUAAGGAUGUGAGAUUGCAUUGACAGCUAGGAUGUUGGCUUAGAAGCAGCCAUUCAUUUAAAGAGUGCGUAAUAGCUCACUAGUCAAGUGGUUUUGCGCCGAUAAUUGUCGGGACUUAAGUCUAUUACCGAAGCUUCGGAUUUGAUUUUUAUCAGAUGGUAGGGGAGCGUUCUAUUAUAGGUUGAAGCUAUGUUGAUAAAAUUAUAGUGGACGAAAUAGAAGUGAUCAUGCCGGCAUGAGUAGCGAUAAUCUUGACGAAAAAGCAAGACACCGAAAACCUAAGGUUUCCUGGGGAAGGUUAAGCCGCCCAGGGUUAGUCGGAUCCUAAGCUGAGGCCGAAAGGCGUAGGCGAUGGAAAUCAGGUUAAUAUUCCUGAACCGUUUAUUUGGCGUUUGUACGAUGGGGUGACGCAGAAGUGAAAGAUCUGCCGACUGUUGGAUAUGUCGGUCUAACUUUGUAGGGUGUUGAUUUAGGAAAAUCCGGAUCAACUUAAGCCUGAGAGAGGACGGGGAAGCGCGCCUUCGGGCAAGCCAACAGAUCCUAAUCAUGCUGCCAAGAAAAGCCUCUAAGGAGUCAAAUAAGCGUCCGUACCGCAAACCGACACAGGUAGGUAGGGAGAGUAUCCUAAGGUGUUCGAGUGAGCCCGGGCUAAGGAACUCGGCAAAUUUAUUCCGUAACUUCGGGAGAAGGGAUGCCUUUAUUAGGUGAUAUCUUUCGCAGAUUGAGCCGAAAAAGGCCGCAGAUAAAUGGCCCAAACGACUGUUUACUAAAAACACAUGUCUCUGCUAAGCUGAAAAAGGCGAAGUAUAGGGACUGACACCUGCCCGGUGCCGGAAGGUUAAGAGGAGGGGUUAUCCUUCGGGAGAAGCUCUUAAUCGAAGCCCCGGUAAACGGCGGCCGUAACUAUAACGGUCCUAAGGUAGCGAAAUUCCUUGUCGGGUAAGUUCCGACCUGCACGAAUGGUGCAACGAUUUGGGCGCUGUCUCAGCUAGGGGCUCGGCGAAAUUGUAAUUCCGGUGAAGAUGCCGGAUACCCACAACGGGACGGAAAGACCCCGUGAACCUUUACUAUAACCUGAUAUUGGGUUUUGGCAUUGCAUGUGUAGGAUAGGUGGGAGGCUGUGAAGCGGGCACGCUAGUUCUCGUGGAGCCAACCUUGAAAUACCACCCUUGUUCUGUCGGAAUUCUAACCAGAUUCAGUGAAUCCUGGAUUGGGACAUUGUCAGGCGGGUAGUUUGACUGGGGCGGUCGCCUCCUAAAAUGUAACGGAGGCGUUCAAAGGUUCCCUCAGGCUGUUUGGUAAUCAGCUUUAGAGAGACGGGGAGGUUUGGCACCUCGAUGUCGGCUCAUCGCAUCCUGGGGCUGGAGAAGGUCCCAAGGGUUUGGCUGUUCGCCAAUUAAAGCGGUACGCGAGCUGGGUUUAGAACGUCGUGAGACAGUUCGGUCCCUAUCUGUUGUGGGCGUAGGAGAUUUGAGGAGAGCUGCUUUUAGUACGAGAGGACCAAAGUGGACGAACCUCUAGUGGACCUGUUGUCACGCCAGUGGCAUAGCAGGGUAGCUAUGUUCGGAAAGGAUAACCGCUGAAAGCAUCUAAGUGGGAAGCCAACUCCAAGAUAAAAUCUCCCUUGAGACUCCUUGUAGAAUACGAGGUGAUAGGUCAGAGGUGUAAAGGCAGUAAUGUCUGUGCCGACUGAUACUAAUAGGUCGAUAGGCUUGAUC